GCAUUGGUGGUUCAGUGGUAGAAUUCUCGCCUGCCACGCGGGAGGCCCGGGUUCGAUUCCAGGCUAAUAAUGCA